rnacentral:lncRNA from 1 species
UUUAAGGUCUGCAGUUUCAUACGCAAGUCAUGUUGCUAAUAAGAAGAAACAAAAUGAGAUUUCAUAUGUUAUUUAAAACAUUCUAAGUCUAAGGUAUACAAUUGGCAUUAUUAGUAUUGCAAAGAUCAUUCCACCAAAAGAGAGCAAAACCAGUAAACUUACUCGUAGCAAGCCUAACUCUAUGCUCAACAGGAACUAAAUGAGAAUUAAAUUUUUAUUCAACAGCAAGUUCCCAAUCUAAAUAAGCCUUAGGAUCAGCAUUACCAGCAAAAGGAAUCAUGGUAAAUUUAGUUUUAGCAAAAGGAUCAUUAUUAUCACGGUGA